AUCUAGCUGACGUGACCCAAAUAGGACGAAACGCGCGUCCUGCAA
rnacentral:hammerhead_ribozyme from 1 species